GGAUUAGAUACCCUGGUAGUCCACGCUGUAAACGAUGAUAACUCGCUGUUGGCGAUAUACUGUCAGCGGCCAAGCGAAAGCGUUAAGUUAUCCACCUGGGGAGUACGAUCGCAAGUUUGAAGCUCAAAGGAAUUGACGGGGGCCCGCACAAGCGGUGGAGCAUGUGGUCUAAUUCGAUGAUACGCGAGGAACCUUACCUGGGCUUAAAUGCAGAACGACCGGCUGGGAAACCAGCCUUUCUUCGGACGGUCUGCAAGGUGCUGCAUGGCUGUCGUCAGCUCGUGCCG
rnacentral:rRNA from 1 species